rnacentral:tRNA from 2 species
UGGGGUGUCGCCAAGUGGCAAGGCAUCGUUUUUUGGUGACGACAUACGAAGGUUCGAUUCCUUCCACCCCAG